UACGGGGGGGGCAAGCGUUGUUCGGAAUUACUGGGCGUAAAGGGCCAGUAGGCGGCCAACUAAGUCGGAUGUGAAAUCCCCAGGCUUAACCUGGGAACUGCAUCCGAUACUGGAUGGCUUGAAUUCGGGAGAGGGAUGCAGAAUUCCAGGUGUAGCGGUGAAAUGCGUAGAUAUCGGGAGGAACACCAGUAGCGAAGGCGGCUCGCUGGGCCAUUCCUGACGCUGAGACGCGAAAGCUAGGGGAGCGAACAGG
rnacentral:rRNA from 1 species